UUGUAUCUAUAAUGGCCUUUCAGUACAUGAAUUUUUUUAGUGCUGAAAACACACCCACAGCAGGUGCAUGAAACUGCCUAUAACACAUGGCAUAUGGGAAAGUACUAGGGUUUGUCCCUUUUGAUAUAGAACAGUUUUAUUGGCAUCAUACUGUAAGAUUUUGUAAUAAAUCAGAGAGUAUAUGGAUUUAUACUCAUGUAUCUGGUGUUAGAAAAUAUUUAAUUUAUGUUUAUAAUGCUUUUAAUUUUAUAACCAGCUUCCUAAAUUUAUUUUCAAUUGACUUUUAUGUCAAGACCAUUUCAUUUGAAAUUGCCAUUACUGCAUAAUCUUUUUCAGAUAACUGAGUUGUGUGGCUCUUUUUCUUUUUGGAAGGAUGUCCUUUUUCCAACUUUAUCCAACUUCUUCAUACUAAUAUUGCGAAUUUAAAAAUAAAAUUCUGAACCAUGUUUGCUAUACUCUUGCUUGGGGAGUAGAAACUAAUUUCAUCAGUUAUUGCAAUACCUUGGUGAGUUUUCCUAGUUAUUUUGAAACAAUUGCUGUGAAUGUGACAGAUUUUUCAUAUUUUAUAUUGAUGUGAUUAGGGUAUGUGUUUACAACAUGUGUUGGCAGGUUUAUAAAGGUUAGCUUGUUUAUAACUCUCAGACCUGCUCCAUUAAAAUAACAACUAGGAAUUCACAUUUUCCCCUAUCCAUUCAACCAAUUCUACCACUAAGAUCCAACAACCAACAAGGAGCCUGAUGCCAUAUGCAGUUCCAAUGUCAUAAAAACAGCCACCCUGAUAUUUGUGCACUGCGUGAUGUCAGCACAGUUAUUAAAAGAACAGAUACUCUGGAAUCAAACCUGACUUUGAAAUUCUGCUCUUCUACUUCAUAUCUAUAUAAUUAUGCUUCAGUUUCUCUUCUAUAAACAGAAAAAACAAUAAUAUUUGCAGGUUACUAUAAGGAUUAAAUCAGAUUUUGUUUAUAAAAUGCCUAGCACUGUGGCAUAUUGUAUGUCCUCAUGAGAUGUUAGCCUUAUGAAUAUGAAAAAAUAUGUUCAGAAAUGUUCUGACAUCUUCCAAUUACUGUCAUGGGUAUUAUAAAGUUUACCCAACCAUGGAACCUACUGGCUGUGAUAAAACAAAAUGGGAGUGUUGACUCUUGUGCAGAGAUUAUAGAACCAACACCUGUUGCCUAACAGUAGUGGGACUCAUACCAAAUAUCAAUGAAUGAGUAACCACCUUAAACAGUUAUCACAGUCAUAAGGCAGUUGGUUCUACAGUCUAGACCUGUUUAAGAAUUGAACCGAGUCACCUGCUGACUAUAACAGCCAUUCAGAGGAGUGAUAUAAAAUUUAAUGUUGGUGAUUAUCUCUUAUGAUACAACAUCAUGUGCAUACUGCCUUCUAAGUCUUGAUUAAAAGACAUUUUAGAAAUGAUACUUGGAGUGUUUCAGUAACAAGAGUGAAGCACCAUCAAUUUUUACUAAACCAAGGCAUGUAAAAAGACUGCAACUCAGUGGCAUCUACAGUAUUUUUAAUUAAGCUAAAGAGGAGACUAUAAUUAUUGUCAGAAAGAGGCAAUUCAUAGCAAAGUUGGCUUAACAAAUUUUUUAAAAAAUGGAUCAUAUUCUUUCAACAGUGAAGCUUGAAACAAAAAUUACAACAAAUGUCUUAAGAUUUUAUUAAUUUUCUUUCAACAUUUGGUGUUCAUUGACCAACUGUAUGCACGAGGGAGUAUGGCUUCUUCCCGAUUUGAAUGUCCCUGUUUAUCCUUAACCACUUCCUAUAAAAUGAUAGAAGCAGACUGUGCUUUCACUAUUUCCUAGUUGACCACCAGAACUCUCUUAGAAAACACCCUUUCUUCCUAAAACAAUGCUAGGCGUGGCAUGGAAAUAGUUGGAGUUAACACUAUCUUAUAGGUACAUUCAUUUAAUACAUAUUAGCUACUUUCAUUUGUGGUUACAGAUACUUAUUUGAGCUUACUCUGAGUCUAUUAUUUUCCUUAGAAUUUCCUGUAGGCAGAAUUUAUGUUUUCUACUUUCUCCCCCUAUUUCCUUGGUACUUGGUACAGUGCGCUUCAAAAGCCCUUAGAUAUGGCAUAUAGUAUGUACUCAAGAACAUAACAAAGGAUAAGUUUGUUUAAGGUCUAUUAAAAGAUCGAGGUGUCUUUAAUGGUCUGAGUGGUUCAAAUUUGUACUUUUAUUAUUUUUUAAAUUUAAUAGGGAUCAAAACCUUUACCUGAGGAAUUGAUACUACUUUGGCAUAUUUUCAGAUAUUGCACAGCAAAUAUGAAUGAGUAAAUCAAUGAAUUAAUGCAUGAGGACAGAUGGGGGAUUUCCAAGGUCUUUCUACAAAUCACAGUCCAUUAAUGCAAACUAAGAAUUUCUAGUCAUUAAAAUCAAUGAUCUCUGUGACUUUCUCAAAUACAAAACAAAAUGUAAGUAUUACAUUAAUUUAUCUCAAUAGUUGUUGAUGAGCAGGGGGAGGUUCCCAUUUAUCCCCAAUCUAGAGACCAUGUUGAUCAUAAAACAAGUCCAAGGAUCUAAAACUUUAGUGAAAGUUGGCAAUGGUUUCAAAGAAGCAACUCUAGGUCUACUAUCCUUGGGUCUGAGAGAUAUCUGGGAUCCUGGAUCCUGAGGACUACUUCAGUCCAGAAAUUAAUCCCACCUAAACCUUCAAGAUUAGACUAAUCUCGUAUAAUUUGGGGGUGGAAUGCCAAGAUUUUCUUUUUCUUUUCUUUUCUUUUCUUUUCUUUUUUUUUUUUUUUUUUUGUCUUUUUAGGGCCAUGCCUGCAGCACAUGGAGGUUCCCAGGUUAGGGAUUGAAUCAAACCUGUAGCCCAAACUGGAGAUGUAGCUGCUGGCCUAGGCCACAGCCACUGCCACGCUAGAUCUCAGCAACGUUCGCGACCUACACCACAGCUCACGGCAAUGCCGGAUCCUUAACCCACUGAGCAAGGCCAAGGAUGGAAUCUGCGUCCUCAUGGAUACUAGUCAGGUUCGUUUCCACUGAGCCACGAUGGGAACUCCCCAAGCUUUUUUCCAUUAGGAUUUUUCUAAUGAGUACCCUACUGUUUCUACUGCUACCAGAGCCCACGUCGGCAGUCACACAGCUGCAUAUCAUGGUAUAUGCCAGGUUAUUCUACUCUCCUCUUACUCUUCCUAAUAAAAUUCUAGGCAUCCUUAAAGAGCUGGCCAAAAUAUAAUUUCUUUUCUCAAUUCUUUCAAGAGUCAUUUCCACACCUUAUUACUCACACGUCCAUUACCUCCCUCCUUAGUUCAGCCAUUUGCUUAUUUAUUCAACAAAUAUUAUUUGAGCAUCUGUUAUGCAACAAGCACUGUUCUUUGUACGUGGUCUGAGCCAAACAGAUAAAAAACCCCUGCCCUUGUAAUGCCUACUUUCUAAUGGAAGAAUACUUAUUCCUUCUAUGUUCCCAAACUGUUUUUAUUGAAGGGCCAUGGUGUACAUAACUUACCCUGAAAUGGUUCAAAAUUUAUGUGUAUGCAUGUGCAAAAAGAAGAUGAGAAUGUGAGCUAACAAUCAAUCAAAUGAGGUAAAUGAUAAUAAUAGGUGAAUCUACAGCAAGUAUUAGGAUGCUAUUUUAAUUAUAAUUAUUUUUGGAACUUUUCUGAGAGGUUAAAAUUAUUUCCAAUGAAAAGAUAAAAAUGAAAAAACAGCUCUGCUGAAGCAGCAUACACAAGAAGAAAAACACUGCUGUUUCCCAUACUCUGGUAUGUAAUAGAGUAUGCCUAAAGCCAUUAUGCAGAAAACCAGGAAUUAUUGUGUGCCCACAUCUCAGGUGAACUUGAUUCCAAUUAAUGUAGUAGGCAGUCUUGGUAGUUAACUCAACUGCCUUCAAAUCAAAGGCAGUGUAGUACACAGGUCAUGGGAUUGGGUUAACUGUAAAAAGCCUCGUUCUUAAGUCCCCAGGUGAUACCUGACACACUCAAGCACUAACUUUGUAGGCGUGGGUACAGAAGAUAAGCAAAAAGUCACACAGUGGUUCCUUUGCAUUUGGCCCAGCGGCCAGGUUUAAAAGGACAAACAGGCUACACUGCAUGGAAGGUGAAAUGCUUAAAUGUCAGAGGAGCAUUGUUAGGACCUAUCUGUAUGCACGGCAACUAUCAUGUGUUCCAAAAAAGAAGAGAGUGCAUUUCAUGAAGGGAAACGAGAAUAAAAGACUGUAUCCUGUUUUACCGUUCCCAGAAGACACAGAAAAAAAUCUUUUAACAAUUUAAAUGGUGUUGACUUCACUGACCUAGUAUUGUGUCAGUCUCAACACCAAGGGAAAAUAUACAAAGUGUUUACAUAUUUCUCAUCUGAGGGCACAACAGGGCAGCCAAUCGGCAUUCCUCUUCACUUUUACAGAGGCCACAUCUACUUUCUGACAAAUUUCAGUACAAUAACUAAGAGCUAUAAAUCUUGACUGCUGCUUUUGCCUUAUAUGCACCCUACUACAGGUUUUAUGAAAGCAUGGUGAAAGAUUUAUCCCCUCUAAAAACACAUUAGCUAAAUAAAGAUUUGGUUUUUUGUUUUGUUUUGUUUUUUGGGGUUUUUUUUUUUUUGCUUUCUGACAGGUAAUUUUUUAUUUCAUCUUUUUAAAGUAUAUUUCCUGUAUAAAUGGAAUUAUUUAGCUGAAAUUAUUUGAAAAGUAAAUUGAAUAUUUAUUAUACAGUGAUGGAAGAAUUCUUUGUCCUUUUCUCAAUAAACUGAGAUUCUCUGGAUGAGAUUGAGAUGUUCAAACUCAGGUGUAAUUAAUAGGGAGAAGUCUAACAGGGUUGAAGUUGCCAGAAAGGGGAGGAAGAAUAUCAACACUCAGAGGAGAGGAACUCUCUGGCUUGCUUGCCACACAAUCUUAGGGACCCCCUCUAUCAGUUCUCAAGUAUUUCUCACUUUAUAAAACCCUUUGUUCAAAACAACAGACUUCUUUCUGUAUCAUCUUCUGUUCUUUUUUUUCAGUGAGUGGAAAGAUUGCAGUUUGGUUAAUUUAAUGAAGCAGAGAUGAAAGGGAAGAAAAGUUAGGGUCUUAAAUUUCAAUUUUCUCUAUUAAAAAUAGGUGGGAGGUUUUCCCCUAGGGCAAAUCACUACAUCUCUUUAGAUUUGUUUUGUCUGAUUUAAAACUUGUGAGGGAGUUCUCUUAGCGGCUCAGCAAUAAUGAACUCAACUACUAUCCAUUAGGUUGGGGAUUCUACCCCUAGCCUCGCUCAGUUGGCUAAGGAUCCAGUGCUGCCAUGAACUGUGGUGUAGGUCACAGAUGCAGCUCAGAUCUGGUGUUGCUAUGUCUGUGGUGUAGGCUGGCAGCUGUAGCUCUGAUUAGACUCCUAGUCUGGGAACUUCCAUAUGCCACAGCUGUAGCCCUAAAAAGCAAAAACAAACAAAAAACAAACUUGUGAAACAUAUAAAGAAUUAAAUUGUUGAAAGAGAUUACAACUAUUAACAUGAGUUUCAUUUAAAUAAUAAGCAAAUUCUAAGGAAUAUAGAUCUAGUCAGAACUCCUACUUGAUCCCUGAGCAAGUUACUUUGCCUGCCUCAUUAAGUCCCAGUUUUGAAGUUUGUAAAAUGUUGAUAAUACAAAUACUUGCCUCAUAAGUUUCUGAAAAGGCUAAUUAAGAUAAUUAACAGGGCUUGGUAAACAGUAAGUGUAAACAGAUAUUAGUUAUUGCUGUUUUCACUACAGUUAUAUGAAGAGUACUCUGUUGACCAUCCAUCAUUCAUGAUGAUGGAUCUGCUCACACCACUUGAACUGUCUUUUCAAGAACCCUUGUUCCAUCAUUGUGUCUCCAUUUUUCCUAAGUGCUAUUAUAGAUUCUCUACCUUUGGAGAUUAUAAGUUUACAUGUCUGGUUCUUCCUACUGGGAUAAAAAGCUCCUUUACUGCAGAGAUGAUGUCUGUUUUGGCUCUGGACCAUAGAACAGAGGCCAGCCAGCACCCAACCUAGAACUUAUUAAAGUUUAUUAGGCACUAACCAGUGCUAGACCCUGCUACAAACAUCUAAACUGCAUUAUCUCAAUCUUAAAUGAAUGUUAUCUCAUCCUGCCUCUGUGAGGUGGGGUGUAUUACAGUACAAUCUUAAUUUACAGAUAAGGAAACAGGCACUGAGAGGUUGAAAACUUGAUGAAGAUCACAUAAUAAAAGGUGAAGCUGGUGAUUUGAUGCUGGGCUGUCUUUCUAGUCUGCACACUUAUCCAUCUUGUACAUUGCUUCUUAGGGAAUGUGCAAUGUAUAUAAACACUAGGACAUGUUCCCAUUCUCCUUAGGCAAAUGAUAUGUUAACCACAUGAAACCAGCUGGGGCAUAUGUUCAUACUUUUUGUUCUAAGGAGAAUAAGACAAAAGGGUGCUCUCCCAACUAGAUUAAGUAGGACGUUUUUAUUAAUUCUAAAUGAGAAAACCGAGUCCCAAGAGUGAAACCAACUACCUAAAAUCACUCAGUUGAUUCAAGUUAACCAUCCCCUAGUCAAGGGAUUUUCAAACUUUAACAUGCAUCAGAAUUACACAGAAAUUGUUAAAACAUAGGUAUGGAAACCCCAUCCCGAGCUUUCUUAUUCCGUAUAUCUGGGAUAUUUGAUUUCUAGUAAGCUUCUUAUAAUGCUGAUCUGGAAACUACAUUGAAAAGCACUGUCCUGGACAAAGUCAAUUUAUAGUCCUAUACUAUACAACCUCACAAUCCCUUGACUCAUUACCUGAAGUCAUAAAACAUUUGUAAAUUGUUUUUCAUGCAUAAUCAUGCAGCCUGGCAUCAGAGAUACCAGACCAUGAUUUUCAUUUAUAAAUUUAGGAAGUGGAAUUUCAGGGAGUGACGUCAGCAUCAUGGUGGAAUGAGAUGCUCCAUUUCUCUCUCCUUGAAUAUAGAACUAGUAAAAUAUCUGUAAC
rnacentral:lncRNA from 1 species